rnacentral:rRNA from 1 species
UACGGGGGGGGCAAGCGUUGUUCGGAUUUACUGGGCGUAAAGGGAGUGUAGGCGGUUGGUCAAGUCGGAUGUGAAAGCUUCACCACUUAACGGGAAGAGGUCAUCCGAAACUGGCCGGCUAGAGUAGGGUAGAGGCAAGCGGAAUUCCUGGUGUAGCGGUGGAAUGUGUAGAUAUCAGGAAGAACAUCGGUGGCGAAGGCGGCUUGCUGGGCCCUUACUGACGCUGAGACUCGAAAGCGUGGGGAGCAAACGGG